GAAUGGAGGAGGAGAGGCAGGGGGUGGGGAUGCUGGUGGUGGAGUGACUGGGGCCGGUGGAGGAGAAGACUGGACUGGUGGUGGAGUAGAUGAUACAGGUGGAGGUGAAGAUUGCUGAACCGGUGGGGGAGCGGACUGAACUGGUGGAGGAGAAGCUUGGACAGGAGGUGGAGAAGACUGAGCAGUUGGAGGAGCAGACUGAACAGGUGGAGGGGAAGCUUGGGGAGUUGUUGGAGGAGUAUUAGUAGGAGGAGUGGGUGGUGCUGGAGAGGCGUUUGGGGAGGUGGAUGGAGGUUGUUGGGCUC
rnacentral:lncRNA from 1 species